UUUAUGUGCCAACACCUCCAGAGCUUUGCCUUCAUAAGAAGGGAUCUCAGCAGGUUCCUGCUGCAGGCGAAGAUAUGGGGAUGAAACUGUGAGGCGGCUGCCAUGGCAGCAGGGAGAAGAUGUGAAGGAGGUGGAGGGCAGGAUCUGGGAAUCAGAAAGCCUUCAAAGCUGUGUCACUAGGAGAUGUAAUUCAUCUGUGCCCAUAAAUUCCCCUUUGACACGAAGCGCUCAACACAUGCACAGCACUGCCAGGAAAGCACAGAGGCAAGGAGUAAUGGAUGACGUGACCAGCAAGCACAGCAUUUGCGAGCCAGAGUGAUGAAAGGUGACAAAGUUAGCUGUGUCAGGUGAAGGGUGUUUUAGUUGAGAGCUCCCAACACUCCCAUCAGCAGAACUGCAGCAUGGCCAGCGUUUGUCAAGGUGAUCUCUAGAAAGCAAAUUGCAAGCUCCAGCCAAGGCCAUCACAGGAACUGAAGCAUCUUGUUGCCUCAUUCUCUGUAUUACAUCCUACUGUUCUUCGCCCACAGACAGCACCUCGGGCAUCUCUACGUGGUGCCAAGCAGUUUAAAUAAACAGGAAAGUCUCCAAACAUAGUCCGGGGAUUUCUAGUACGCUACGAUUUUCAUCCCACAGCCAGUAUUCAACAGAAGAAUGGCAUAAUGUUGAGAAUAUUAAAGAAAAAAACAACAAAAAUCUGGAAGAUGAUGUCAAGACGGGAUUCAGAUGGAAUCAAAACAACAUAUGGUUUGGGUUGGGGAAGCAAGGAUGGCUCUUCUCUUGGUGGAGCACAAACACCAGACUGCACGGGCAGAGAAAGCAGCUUGGCAUCACUCAGGCUUUUAGGAACAGGUUGGGCAAACAUGCUGGGAGUGGUCCUAGCCAACGCUGAUCGUGCCUCAGGGCUGAGGGAUGGUGUAGAUGGAUUCUCAAGAUCUUCCCAAGGCUUCCAUGCUGGGAGAGGCACCAACAGCAGCGAUGUUUGCCAGCACCUUUCCCAGCCGUGGCCUGUAGGAAGCUGUCUCCAAAGGAAACAAAAGCAUGAUUUAAUGGCUACUGAAAUGUUGGGGGAGUUGGUUAGUUGAAAUUAAUUCAGUGUCUUUCACCUUUAUACCAGGUUUUAAGCCCACGUUUGGCUGAGAUGCUGACUGCAUCCAGGUAGGCAGUGUUUGCACAGCCCAGACUCCUGACAAACACCAUCUAAAAACCAAAACUGAUCAUUUUCAUCAACAUCUGCACAUUUCAAGGGACAUGGGAGAUGGGGUGCUCUGCCACGCUAAGAUGCUCAACAUUUCUGCACAUACCUAAGGGUAGUGGAGACAUAUUAACCUAUACAUGGAUAAAUGGAUAUUUCCAUCAGUGAUUGCCCAGCCAGGAAAUCACUAUUGAAUUGAUUUGCCUUUCCCAUCAGCAGCAUGGCAAGAUGAUACACAGGAACUGUCUGCAAGCCAGAGAUGUCAGUGCUGUUCUUGGGCUGGAGCCAUGCAGUCUUUUCAUGCUGAGAAUCAGACACAAGGAUCCACUUUGCAAAGAGGCUUGUGCGCUAUGAACAAAAAAUGAUGCGAGCAGCUCAUUUAAAAUAUUUAUAUCAUCUCAAACUACUUGCGUGGCAGAAGCCCAAGAAAGACAAGGGUGCUCAUAAUAGCUGGCACUGAAUGCAUGGUGGGUCAUGCUUACAUGAUCAGCCAGGCUUGCAUAAUUCUAUUUCAUCCUUUUGUAAGAUGCUGGAUUCCAUGGACACAGGCCUCAGCCCCUGGAUUACACCAUGACUGAAAGUGUUGCUUCCCCAGACCUUAUCCCCCUGCUCAGCUGUUUUUCCACUGCUGUUCUCCUAAGCCAGCCUUUCUUAGCUCCCAAAGUUGUACAUCAGUGACCAGCCACUGGCCAAGCUGUGUGCUGUUUAUAGCCCCAAGCCUUCUGUUUUCAGUCUGCAUCCUCACUUCCAAAGCUAUUCCCAAUCAUCCUGUGCUCCAGGUAGCAGAGACACCUGAUACCAAGCUCUGUUUUGCAGCUGUUGAUAACAAGUUUGAUGCUUCAGCCUUGAAAACUUAGCAGAAGGGAAAGUUGCAGAGAGGCCAAUGGCUUCUUACUAUGUCAAUGGCAGUAACAAUAGUGUUUGUGCUGGGAGAGCAGACAGCACACAACCAGGUUGUUAGAGUUUAAGGUGCAGCACAGGCUAGAAACAAGCAGCUCUUGGAGACUCUCCAGUCAGGCUCCACAUGCACUGCAACCUGACCUAGACAGAUUAUUUUUGCUAGCCUGGUAUUAGAGCUGACAUCCUCAUAUCACAAAGAUUAGGUGCUCUAUAAAGGUGUCAUGAGAAGAUUGGAUUAGAGAGAUGCGGGUCAAAGACUUAGGUAAAGGUGCUCUUGGUCCCUUGCAUAGCUCUGGGCUCCAGUCUCGUGUUCUGACUGCAGUAAUUGGCUUUUGGGUUUGAGAAAGAAAGGCCCAAGAGCACUGUAAGGAACU